rnacentral:rRNA from 1 species
UACAGAGGUCCCAAGCGUUGUUCGGAUUCACUGGGCGUAAAGGGUGCGUAGGUGGCGAGGUAAGUCGGAUGUGAAAUCUCCGAGCUCAACUCGGAAAUGGCAUUGGAAACUACCUUGCUUGAGGGUCGGAGGGGGGACUGGAAUACUUGGUGUAGCAGUGAAAUGCGUAGAUAUCGGGAGGAACACCCGUAGCGAAGGCGGCACUCUGGGCCGGUACUGACGCUGAGGAGCGAAAGCGUGGGGAGCAAACAGG